UCACCUAGCUAAAUGUAGCUAUUUACAACGGUAAGAAUUGUGGUUUUGUUAAUUUAAAUUAAGUCUGCAAUAUAAGCUAGCAUAGUAUAAAGUAAUCAAUUUGUUAUACUGACGACGGUAGCUAAUUUUGAAGACAUCAAAAUUAGCUACCGGUUUCUGUUUCUUCACUUCGUCAGUGCACAACUGACUUUUCGUUGAUUGUAGUUAAUAUCUGAGGAUUACGUGGUACGUUUAUUUGCUGUAAUGAUACAUGUUCAGUCUACCACAAAGUGUAAUAACUGGUGAGUAGUUCCUAGAUGCUGCAUCACGCUCCCAAACCAUUGCGACGCCAAAACGAUACCUCUAGCCUAUGUAUUUUUUUAAGUUAAACUAAAAUAUGUCGUGGCAUUUUAUGUCACGUACUCUGUCAGAAUCUCUCUCUUUUAUUAAAUUUUAAAUACUUUAUGUACCUGGUCCCCAAGCAAAUAAAUAAAAUAAUAAAUAAUUGUUUUGUCUGUUUGCAAAUCAAUUUCUUUGAUUUAAUCAGUAAGUUCAAGUAACAAACAAAACAUUAUGUGCUUGGUUUUGUACAGUGCAGGUUGUUUCAGAAAGAGAAGAGUGGAUGGUGUGCACCAGCUGGAUUUUCACAAGCCUUAACUCAUCACACAAGCGUGUAUGAUCACAGAAUGGAUGACCUGAGUGAUUUCCUGAGACAAAGAAUUAUUCCUGAGGAAACUAUUGAGACCAUGCUGAGAGAGAAGAUUGAUAGCAGUGUCAUCCAACUCAUGACAGAUGAAGAGCUAAAGAGUUAUUUGCCAUCAUAUGGAGACCGCAUCGCCCUAUUAGGAUACUGUAAAAGGAAGGAAACUGGUCCCCCAAACAGUCGCAAAUCAAAACUGUUUGAGCGCCUGAAAUCAAAGCUGGGUAAAAGGAAAACUGCCAGAUGGAACUCCUGAGAUGGGAUAUGAUGACGGAGGAGUCGUCAGAGACUGUCUUUCUGAAUUCUGGAAAGAAUUCUAUGACCAAUGUACUACAGGAAACACUUACAGAGUGCCUUUUCUGAGACAUGAUUAUGGACAGAGCCAGUGGGAGAGUGUAGGCCGAAUAAUUGUUUUUGGAUGGACAAGAGAGAAAUAUCUUCCUAUGAAGAUUGCACCUGUCAUACUAGAGCAAGCAGCCUUUGGACAGGUAAAAAGUGAUGUAGUGGAGAAUUUCCUUAAGUGCAUGCCUGAAUCUGAGCGCUUUGUGUUUCAGUCAUGGCAGUCAGACUUCAGCAGUGUUGACCAAGAGGAAUUGAUAGAGAUUCUUGAUAACUACAGUUGCAGACGAAUGCCAACUGCCAGCAACGUAAAUGAAAUCCUCCAGGAGCUUGCACACAAAACACUUGUCCAAGAGCCUGCUUAUGUUAUUGAACAGUGGGCCAAAACACUCAGUAACACCGGGAACAGCUUCCAGGAUCUUUCUUCAGUGUAUGAAAACUUACAACCAAAUGCAAGAAAAGUUUUGAAGUCCAUUGUCUUUCCUCAGGAAAUGAGUGGUCAUCAGAAGGACAUUCAAAAGUAUGUUAGCACAUAUAUCAGGAACGCAGAUUUGCAGCAUCUGUCCUUGUUUCUAAGGUUCUGCACAGGUUCAGACCUGUUCUUGGAUAAGAAAAUUCUUAUUGAUUUUACAAAGAUUCAAGGGUUUCUCAGAAGACCUGUGGCUCACACAUGUAGCUGUGUCCUCGAGCUGUCAAUCUAUUAUGAUAGCUAUCCAGAUUUCAGUGCUGAAAUGAACAAGGUUUUGGACUCUAAUGUAUGGGUCAUGGACAUUAUUUAAAGAUUUUAAAGUGAUGGAGGAAGAGGAAAAAAAAAGAGAUUAAGGUGGCUAUUUAAAGUAACAAGUUGCCUAUCAAAAUCUAAGUAGAUGUUUUCCCCCAAAAUUUCCUUAUCAGAAUUUAAGGUUUUACAGAUAACAAUUUACCAGGGUGAUGUUACCAUUCCCAAAUUUCUACAGAUGUUAUAAAAAGGGAUCACUUAUUUGUGAGAGGUGAAUGUUUGUUUGUGCAGCACAGCUGUUGGUUUGUUUAAGGGUAGAUUGUCAAAACUCUA